ACAAAGGGGAGUCAGCCACUGGGGAGGGCAGACCCAAGCCUCCGCGCAGGGCGAGGGCCAGGGGUACCCCGUCUGAGGGAUGACAGGAGCCAAACUUGGAGCCCCCUCCUUUCCUGACCUGGUGCGGGGACCCCCUUCUCUGCAGAAAGUGCUGUCUUGGGGCCUGGGGGCAGGGGUGGGGUGGGCACGAGGGCACGGAAUCCGGAUGGUUCUGGAGUUCCAGGUCUGCUCCUCACUGGCUGUGUGACUUGGGCAUCCCGCUCCCAGGCACUUAGGCUGAGAAAUCAGGGUAUACGUUCACAUGAAGACUUGUACGCCAGUGUUCACAGACGCUUCAUUUGACGUAGCUUCACGCGGACGACAAGUCAAAUGGAUGAGCUGCUUACGCGUCAGGUGAGUGGGAAGCCAACAGUGGGAAGUUCGUACAGUGGGGUGCCAGCCAGCACCGAAGCAGGGUGCGUCCUUGUGCACAAGGACAGCACGGAGGAAAGAGUCCUGGUGGCCGCCAGGCCGGGGCCGCUGUCCCUCCCCGGCAUCUCCACCGUUUGCUCAGCACCACUGCCCCGUCCACCCCACCGCCAGGUCCUGCCCGCGCAGCCUCCAGGCUUUGCAGCGUGUUCCUCCUCGCGGCGCAGCCUCCACUUGCUCCGGGCGAGGCUCGCCCUCGUGUCCCCCCUGGGUUGCCCAGGGGCUCUGAGUACCUGCACCCCCCUCUCAGAUCCGCCCCACGGCUCACUCCCUUCCUCCGGGGUUUUCCGCAGGCCUCCUUUACUGCAAAGAACAGAGAUUGCCCUGAGCUGCCUCCAGUGAUGAAACACGUUCAAAGGGAAGGAUGAUGUCGGUUACGCCAGGAUGCUCGAAAACCCUCACCCUUGCCCCACCCGUCCUCACCUCCGCUUUCCUUCCUCUGCUGCAGCAGGCAGCACGGAAGAGUAGAGCCAGGGGCGCCCAGCGGGCUCAGGGUACAGCGUGCGGCACUUAACCUCAGGGUAGUGAGUUCCAGCCCCGUGCUCGUCGUGGAGCCCAGUUAAAAUUAAGAAAGAAAGAGUAGGUCCAGAGGUGCGAUUUUAGAGUUUGAGCAGACCCGACUGGACUCGGGAAAUAACGGGAAGACGCUACGGCCUUCAGGAAGCAAUGUUUAUUCUUUCACUUUUCAUGUGGUUCCUGCUGCUGCAUCUCUGCACGGACCAGUUCCUCUGCCUGGUCAGAGCCCAACGCAGUCCCCUGCGCCCUGACACAGCACAAGUGACAACCUUUCACAACCACAGUUCUCUGGGUCCAAAAAUCCUCGGGAAAGACUGUCUUCUCUUUCCUUAUUAAAAAAAAAAAAAAAAAUUUUAGGGGCACCUGGGUGGCUCAGUGGGUUGAGUUUCGGACUUUGGCUCGGGUCACGACCUCGCGGUUCAUGGGUUGAGCCCCGCGUCGGGCUCUGUGCCGACAGCUCAGAGCCUGGAGCCUGCUUCGGAUUCUGGGUCUCCCUCUCUCUCUGCCCCUCCCGCGCUUGCACCUUGUCUCUCUCUCUCUCAUAAAUAGACAUUAAAAUUUUUUAAAAAACAAUUUUUAAGGGGCGCCCGGGUGGCUCAGUCGGUUGAGCAUGUCUGACUUCCGCUCAGGUCAUGAUCUCACGGCUUCGUGAGUUCAAGUCCUGCAUCGGGCUUCAUGCUGAUGGUGCAGAGCCUGCUUGGGAUUCUCUCUCUCUCCCUCUCUCUCUGCCCCUUCCCCCGCUCGCACCUUGUCUCUCUCUCUCUCAUAAAUAAAUAAACUUCGGAAAAUUAAAAAAAAAAAAGAGCUUUUAAAAAAAGUUUAUUUAUUUAUUGAGAGAGAGUGCCCUCUGCCAGCGCAGAGCCUGAUGCGGGUGAGAUUGUGACCCAAACCAAGAUCAAGAGUUGGAAGCCUAACCAGCUAAGCCACCCAAGUGCCCCCCCUCCCCCCCACUAAACCAAGAAUGUUCUUUAAAAACAAGAGCAUUCUUAUGUAACCUCAGUGCGAUGAUCAAAAUCAACAAAGUAACAAUGCUACAAUAUUAUCUAGUCUAGAAACCUCACCGAGAUGCUGCUAAAUGUCCCCUGUAACAUCUUUUAUAACAAAAGAAAGCUCAGACGUGAGUAACAUUCAGUUCUCAUCUCCUUGCAGUCGCCUUGAAUCGGGAACAGUUCCUCAGGUUUUGUAUUUCAUGACAUUUUUAAAUGUUACAUAUUUUUAAAGAGUAAAAGUUAUUUGUGUAACAUCCCUUGGUUUGGGUUUGUCUGAUAUUUCCCACGAUUAGGCUCAUGUAUUUUUAAGGAGUAAAGUUUAGUUGUAUAACGUUUCUCAACUUGGGUUUGUCUACUAUUUCCUUAUGCUUGGACUCGGGCUAUAACAUUUUUGGCACUGUGUUCAUUUAAGAGCAUCCCUCAGGAGGUGCGUGCCACCUGUCGCUCGUGACGGAAGUUAACAUCUUCCAUCACCGAGUUAAGGUGGUAUCUGUGAGGUUUCUCCCCUAGGAAGGUACCAUUCUCCCCCUGCCUUUUUUUUAAAGUUUAUUUAUUUAUUUUGAGAGAAAGAGAGAAAGAGAAAGGGAGAGAGAGAGCAGGGGAAGGGCAGAGAGAGAGGGAGACAGAGAGUUCUAGGCAGGCUCCAGGCUCCGAGCUGUCAGUACAGAGCCCAGCGCGGGGCUCGAACUCGCGAACCGGAACAUCAGGAUCUGAGGCGAAACCAAGACUGGGAUGCUUGACCGACUGAGCCACCCAGGUGCCCCCGAGUUCUUCCUUUUGUAACUAAUGAAUAAAUGUCUUGUGAGGAGCUGCUCUGCGACCAUGUGACUGUCCUGUUACUCCUCUUACUUUGACCCACUGUCUUUAGGAUCCAUUGCUGAUUCCUGCCUGCAUCACUUAUCACUAAAACAGCUGCCAAACGGUGAUUUUGAGGAUGUUAAAGCCAUAGCCUUUUCCUGACAGGUGUUAUUUCUCUAGGACACUUAGUCCUGUAGGACUUUGUUGCCCGGCAGGAACGCACGCCAGAAUUUUGCCCAUCCCCCGCUCUGCUGCUCAGGACUCUGAGGAGACCUGCAUCUGAGAAGGACCAUUACAGAUUACGGAUCACCUCCAAGCCCACUGGUUGUAACCCUGGGAAAGGUCACGAUCUGGUGGGGCAGUGCUGCUCUGAGGUGUGUGUGAUAAGCCGAGAUGUCAGGGGUUUCCCUGCUUCCUCGGGCUCCCCCAGAAAUCCACACUCGGUGGUCAGGAGCCUCGUUGUGGCCAAUCAGUGCAUUAGCUUCAGUCACAAAUACUUAGUAUGGCAAGGAAUUCGGUGUGGACUAGAAUUUGAGGAGAAAAGGAUUAAUUUCCCUGGAUCUGACCGUAAGUACUUUCAGAAGACAGGAAUAAAGAGUUUUCUCUAACGGGA